rnacentral:hammerhead_ribozyme from 1 species
AUCCAGCUGACGAGUCCUAAAAUAGGAUGAAACGCGCGUCAGACUGGAU